UACGUAGGGCGCAAGCGUUGUCCGGAAUUAUUGGGCGUAAAGAGCUCGUAGGCGGCUUGUCGCGUCGAGUGUGAAAGCCCGGGCUUAACUCCGGGUCUGCAUUCGAUACGGGCAGGCUAGAGGCAGGUAGGGGAGAACGGAAUUCCCGGUGUAGCGGUGAAAUGCGCAGAUAUCGGGAGGAACACCGGUGGCGAAGGCGGCUUCUUGGGCCGUUCCUGACGCUGAGGCGCGAAAGCCAGGGGAGCGAACGGG
rnacentral:rRNA from 1 species